UAGACGCUACGGACUUAAAAUCCGUCGACUUUAUAAGUCGUGAGGGUUCAAGUCCC
rnacentral:tRNA from 1 species